rnacentral:rRNA from 1 species
GAUGAACGCUGGCGGCGUGCCUAAUACAUGCGAGUCGAGCGAACAGACGAGGAGCUUGCUCCUCUGACGUUAGCGGCGGACGGGUGAGUAACACGUGGAUAACCUACCUAUAAGACUGGGAUAACUUCGGGAAACCGGAGCUAAUACCGGAUAAUAUAUUGAACCGCAUGGUUCAAUAGUGAAAGACGGUUUUGCUGUCACUUAUAGAUGGAUCCGCGCCGCAUUGGCUAGUUGGUAAGGUAACGGCUUACCAAGGCAACGAUGCGUAGCCGACCUGAGAGGGUGAUCGGCCACACUGGAACUGAGACACGGUCCAGACUCCUACGGGAGGCAGCAGUAGGGAAUCUUCCGCAAUGGGCGAAAGCCUGACGGAGCAACGCCGCGUGAGUGAUGAAGGUCUUCGGAUCGUAAAACUCUGUUAUUAGGGAAGAACAAAUGUGUAAGUAACUAUGCACGUCUUGACGGUACCUAAUCAGAAAGCCACGGCUAACUACGUG